GAUGCUGGGAAACCCCGGCUGACGCGCCCCUCCCCCGCCCGCAGUGCGGCUCGGCGGAGUACAUGGCCCCGGAGGUGGUAGAGGCUUUCAGCGAGGAGGCCAGCAUCUACGACAAGCGCUGCGACCUGUGGAGCCUGGGCGUCAUCUUGUACAUCCUGCUCAGCGGCUACCCGCCCUUCGUGGGCCGCUGUGGCAGCGACUGCGGCUGGGACCGCGGCGAGGCCUGCCCUGCCUGCCAGAACAUGCUGUUUGAGAGCAUCCAGGAGGGCAAGUACGAGUUCCCCGACAAGGACUGGGCCCACAUCUCCUGCGCUGCCAAAGACCUCAUCUCCAAGCUGCUCGUCCGUGACGCCAAGCAGAGGCUGAGUGCCGCCCAAGUCCUGCAGCACCCCUGGGUUCAGGGGGUGAGUGCCAGCCGCACGGGCGCCGGGGGAGCAUGGGGGGCUGCAGGGUGGCCUCAGAGCGAGCAUGGGAAGCCCUGAGGGUGUAGCCUGGACACCCUGAGAUGCACUGAGGCCUGAGAGUGCAGGCUCUGCCCUGGGAUGAGGGGUGCAGCCAAAAUCCCCACCGCCCACGUGUGCACGGUGCCUGCUGGCCAGGCAGGCGGCUCCCAGGAGCAGCUACUCAGAGAACCUUCCUGGAGGGUGGUGGGGACCCACACCCUGCAGCAAGCUGGAGUGAAGCGGGCAGCAAGUCCAGCUCACAUAGACCCCAGCCCAGCCUGUCGUCAGUCUCAAGCCCAGGCUCUGCCUCCACCCUUCCCUGUGUGGCCUCCAAUCCAGGAGGAGGCGGGUGUUUCUCCUGCCAGAGGUCAUCUGAGCCGAGCUGCCACCCCAGGGAGUGAGGAUUUACUAAAAAUAGAAGCUGGGGUCACUCUGUGUCCCCAGGCGAGGGGCUGGGGGCCUCCAAACUCCUCCCAGAAGCAUCCAGAGACCCGUGGGUUAAGAGGGGGGCAGAGGUGGGUUUGGGCUGGGAACAGCUGGGAGAGGUGGGGCUUGGGGCUCUGCCCCCACCCUCACUGGGUCCUGUAACACCAGGCCUCAGCCUGGCCCAGCCUCGGGUUCCCUGGGCAGGGGGACAUGGAGCCUCGCCAUAGGGACCUCGGGGCGGGCGCUUGGCUCCCGGGGCACCCG
rnacentral:sRNA from 1 species